AAAACCAGAAGAGGCGCGUCGCCCAGGUAUCGUGUCCGAGGAGCCACUCCAAAGACGGCACGGGAGGGGGAGCGACGCCGAGGUAGCGUGGCGUCUGGCAACGUUCGCUAUCGGCUACAGGGGCUGAAUCCCCUGGGUUGUCACCCGAAACGUCAGCAGUCGAACGUUUCGCAAGGUGGAGCGCUUCUGGGUGU
rfam:Cronobacter sp. DJ34 Bact_Abyss1_124, whole genome shotgun sequence.